AUACACUCACUCUUCUCUACACUCCAGACGCUUCAACAGCACACCCGACACAAACAUAUACCCUCUAAGAUACCGAUCGUGAUCCCUCGCGCCUAAAUUACACGAAGAUAUUUCGACACGCCCACAAGAUACCCGGCUCCAGUGCCGCGCACCCUUCUCCGAUGUUACUCAACUCCAAGGAGGGGCCCUACAAGCAGAUUCUGGAGGCUCGAAGCUCGUCCUCCAAGAGGAACUCUCUCACCAACUAUGCCAUCGACCCUGAGAUCAUGUUUCCUAACGAGCUUGAGAGCAUGAUUCGCGGCAAGUACGCCGAGCUCGUUGAGCAAGACGAGGCGAUCCGAAAGGAAAUAAUGAAGGACUUCGAGGAAUUCAUUCGCGACCUGCAGUUAUGGAACGAGUCCAUGAGCCUGAUUGAUCUUCAAAGAGGCGAAAAACGAAUUGACUUAGGGAUUCAAUGGAUCCGAAGUCGGCACCAGGAGCUGGAAAUGUCCCGCAACAACUUGCAGACCUGCGCUGAUGUCGUUAAGACCAUGUUGGGGGUACUGGGGAAGUGACAGGCGACUGCUUAUCGAGAGCUAGCUGAAAUAGACGACUUAUGUAGCUUCAACUCGC
rnacentral:misc_RNA from 1 species